GUUGCCAGGACUGGUCUCGAACUCCUGGGCUCAAGUUAUCCUCCUGCCUCGGCCUCCCAAAGUGCUGGGAUUAUAGGCAUAAGCCAUCAUGCCCAGCCCUCCUUAAUUUUUUAACAUGAAUUAAUAGGACCUGGACACACACAGCCUCAUUUAUAUGGGCAGCCAUCACAGCCUGCCACGUGUCAGGUGAGGUCUCUGGGGCUCUCACUUCUUGCACUGGGGCUGAUGCCACAUGUGGCCCAGCUGGAGGUCACAUUCAUCUCCUGCGUUCUCCGGGAUCAGAUGCAAUACCAGCACAUCUUACCCUCGUGUGCCCUGGGAGUUUGUAAUAAUGUAUGAAUACGUAGGUUUAUUUCAGAGAACAUUUUCAGAAUCUUGUUGCGCAUGUGCACAAAAAUAUUGGCUGCAGUGUGUUUAUAACCAUGAAAAUUCCAAAAUAGCUUCAAUCUCCUGUGAAACGGGAGUGGUUGAAGGCCCUCCAGCACGUGCACAGAAUUCUUUCUUCAGCCAUUGAAACAUGAAAAUGACGGUUAAAAAUGACUCCAUUAUGGGGAAAAGGGACAGGAUGCAAAUUGUUCAAAUGGCAUGAUGAUAUGAUGGCAUGAUGUAUGAUAAGGAAAGAAAAAGAUGUUGUAAAAGGUCACAUAAAGUCACCCACAGAUCAGCAGUCAUGCCAUGAUGAGCUGCUCUGUGCCAGACACACAGGCUGGAAAUUGGUAGGUGCUCACCCCAGGAAGUGGGCAUCUGCCCCUCUGUGCCUCAGUUGCCUCUGUUAGGCUCCUGGAAGCCCCCUUCACUGCUGCAUGUAAUGACAUCUUCAUCACCACAUGUAACAGCUUCUUUACCACUAUGUGUAAUGUCAUUCUGUGUGCUUAUUGGUCUAAACCAUCACAGAGGAAAAGAGUGCUGGAGAAAUGCCAGGGAUAUCGGUACGGAAAUGUUCCAGAUGGAAAGUCUCGGCUUCAGGUGACCGUAGCAGUGAAUGUCAGGGUCAAACAGGGGUGUGUUCUUGGGAGAGCGUCAGCUCGUCUGUGACCUAGUGUUCAGCCGGCUUCCUGGAAAGGAGCUGCAUCCUGACAUUGAAGCCCUGUGUGCUAGGAUGAGUGUGUUACGCAGAGCCUUACAAAUGAGAAAAUCUUGCAUCCUUAGGACAGGCGGUUAGUGUUGCUGUCUGGAAUCCAUCGGCUACAUCCCUCCUCCCUCCACCACUUAAAAUUCCCUGAAUCUGACAGUGGUAGGGAAAGGGCUGAUCCUGGAGAAGACUGUUCCUUGAUAAUCCUAGUAUGAUUCAUAAUGGUUGCAGCAGAUGAGCCCUGAGGUCCGUGGCUCAGUCUGCAGCUGAGGAAGGCUCUUCCCUGGGGAGGUGUGUCCAGCUUCUCGGGAAGACCUCAGCUGUCUGUCUGGCCUGGGCUGCCCAGUUCUUAGCAGUGUGUCAGUGACCAGCAGCCCCUAUCAGGCAGCAUUUCCCGCCUGCCAGAGAACAUCAGAGCCACUGCGUCUGGACCAGCUGAAGGCAGCCACGGUGCCCAGGAUGCUGCUGCUGCCUCCAAGGAAAAGAAUUCUGAAAAUGCAGAAUUACAGCCUGGUGGUUUUGUUUUAUGUUCAUUAAUAUUUUUUACAUCUGGAAGAUAAUGGAAAAAAUUAAGAAUUGCUAUAAUUGCACCAAUUUUAAAGAUUAAUAAUAUAAAGAAGGGAGAGUAACGAACACCAGCUUGAAACCCAUCCCGCCCCUUCUUGAGAUAAUACCUGUUAUCAAUUUGGUGAUUUAUGCAAACGUAGUGGUGUACUGUUAAACUUCUCAAGAGGAGAAACAAAAACCUUGAAUUGUAGGUUUGUCGAUUUCAAUGGUGAAAUCCCACCACAGCCGGUUUCAGGCAACCAAAGCUUUAAAAACCAGUUCGCAAAAUUCUUCAAUAUUUAAUAAUCAGCUUUUGCAAGUGCAUACAUGCUCAUAGCGUUUGCUUUUUGUACUUCAUUUUGAGGGAGGCAGGAAAUGGAAACUGCAAUGGUAUUGGUAAGCGUGCCAUUUUGAUUUACGGUAUCACCACGUCUUCCCAGACUAGCAUGUGCAGAUUCACUUAGGUCCUGUCACUUGUGGGAUGGAGUUUCCAUGAAGGCGCACCGUGUUGCUUCUGGAAGGGCAGAAUCGGCCCCCCAGGAGAGGGGAGUGCCAGCAUCUUGGCACUCGGAGGUUAACUCCUGCAAUGCUGUCCACAUCUGGCGUUUACUUGGAGUUCACUCUAGCUUCCAGUUUCUUCUAAAUAUGUUCUUCCAAUUACCUGUGGCCUAAUCAACUCUGCUGGUGAUACAUCCCUUUGCUCUGUUCAAUUCCAGUUUCCAUCAGAGAAUCUCAUUUUUCUUUUGGGAAAUGUUUCCUGAUUUUCUUCUUUUCCACCACCCCUCCCUGAGGCUGGGUAAAGUGCUUCUUCUGCAUGAUGCUUAGAACCCAGGCCUCCUGUGACAGGGCUCUCUGCACCUUAUGAUUUAUUGUGUGAUGUCUCAGUAUGUUUCCUGCGGAGAAGCAGAGAAGCUCUGGUAAACAGAAUGGCCCUCUAAAGAUGCCCACACCCUAAUCUCUGAUUUAUGCCUAUGAAUGAAUAUAUUACUUUAUAUAGCAAAGGGGACUUUGCAGAGGUACUUAAGGUUACUAAUCAAUUGACUUCUAAUAGGGAGAUUAUCCUCGGUUAUCCAGGCAGGCCCAAUCCAAUCACAUGGGCCCUUAAAAGCAGAGAUUUCCUCUGACUGUGCUCAGGAAGAUGCCGUGAAAGGUUCUAAGUGUGAGAAGGAUUUGAUGUGCCACUGCUGGCUCUGAAAUGUGGGGCCCACUUGUAGGAACUGGAGGGAGAGACUGGUUGCUAAGGGUGGCCCCUAGCUGAUAGCCAACAGAGAAAUGGGGACCCCCCCAUCCUACAGCUGCAGGGAACUGACUUCAGAACAUGAAUAAGUUUGGAAGAGGAUCCUUCCAGAACCUCCUGAUAGGAGCCCAGUCCGCUGUCACCUUGAAUUCAGCUUCGUGAAUCAGGAGCUGGGAAACCAGCUGAGCCAACCCACACUCUGACCUAAGGAGCACUGAGGUAAUUAUAUGUGUUGUUUUAAGCCACUGAGUUUGUAGUAAUUUGUUAUAGUGGCUGUAGAAAAUCAAUACAGAAUCCUAGUGUUUGGGAAUGCAGGCUCCAGACCCCCGUUUUCUCACUUCGAAAGCAUGUUUGCACCUUCGCAGGGGACCCUCAAGUCCCCGUAGCUCACUUUCACGUGUCUCAACCCACUUGCCCUGCUGCUCCUGAAUGAGCAGGUUCUACCAUCUUCCAAAUACUUCAUCUCCCCGACCUGCCCAUGAUCACCGCUUGGUGAAUUUUUACCACUGCAAUGUAGGCCUUGGCUUCCUAUUUCAGACCGCCUGGGAUGUUUUGGUAGCUUCCUUAGGGGUCUUCUCAACUCCCGGCCCUCCCUCUGCCCAACCAUCCUUCACACUGCCUCCAGAUGCAUCUUCCUGAAGUGUGGCUUUGCUUCCAUCACUCCCUAGCUACAGACAUCCUGUGGGCUUCCCGUUCCUACUGAAUCCAGGGCACAUCCCCAGCCUCUACUGGGGACGGGGCAUUGCCUCUCCAGUCCGAUUCCCCAGGACUCCCUCUUGUACUUUUGUUCUACUCUUGUCCCCUUGUAUGCCCAAGCUUCCCCAGCCCUAGGUCUCUCCGUUCCUCCAGUCCUGUAGUGCCCUGCUCUUGUGCCAUCUCAUCCCUGCAGCCUCAUGGGAUCCCCAGAGGUACCACUGGUACCAUGCCCAAGGCUCAUCUGUCUAUCUGACUCUUAAGUGCCCUCAGUCACACAGCCAGUCUGAGAUCCAGUCCUGUAUUUGAACUUCUGCCCUGUCUAAUCUGGAGCCCAACCUCUCGCCCCCCUCUCCAGUGUGAUUCAUAGGCUUGUGUCACAGCUCUCGGGGAUUUAAAGAAAAUGUCGACAUCCAGGCUUAAAAAAAAAAAAAAAUGUGAUGACUAUCUUUACCAGAGGGAAAAGAAUUUCCUGUGUAACUAUUGAAAGUAAUGAAGAUGGAGGAGGGGACAGGAUUGGGAAUGGGAAAUACUCAGCUUCCCAGCAGUGGGGACAGAGUUGAGAACCAAAGAGACAGUGUAUUUUCUAAGACACACUCCAGGCCAGGCCUGCCUGUGUCCUUCAGUGUCCAGGUCUACCACAGAGAACCCUGGGCUGACCACUGGCUCACCCUGCAGAAUGCUCACUAUAGACGUGGCUUCUGAGGCUGGGGAUGGGCCUCCAGCCAGCAGCUGUCAGGACGGACUCCUUGGCAAACUUUCCUAGGAUGUAAGAUGGAAAGAUUUUUUCCACCUCCCUACCCCGUGUUUCCCAGGUUGGGGAAAAUAGAAAAAAAAAAAAAAAAAAAAAAAAAGGAAGAAAAUGGGCCUACCUAUCAAAACAGAGGCUAAACACCCACAAAUAGGAAACUCACAGACCGAAAAUGAAACACUAAAGCAAAUACCAUAAUUUCCAAUUCAGGCCUGUGUGAGUAUCUCCAAGUGGGAACAGCAGCAUUUGGAGUUGAGGUGGGAGGGGGCUCGGAUGGGGUCGGUCCUUGUGGAAGGAGGGCAUACCAGCCUGGGGAGAAGGAGAUUUGGGGCCAGAAGGUUCAGUGGGAUUGUGACUUUGGACUUUGUCAUUUCACUGGGGACCGUCCAUGAGACAGAAUCAUCCUUGCCUCAUUCACCGACCUCACAUCCAUGCAGCUAUCCAAUGUGAGAAUUAAGAGAAAAGCCUUUAAAAUUUUAAAGCCCUGCAUGCAUGUGAAGUGUUAAAAAUAGUCACAAAUGAUGAACUGUAGCAAGAACGUCAAUGAUAAUGACGUUGACCCAGUGACAAAGGGAUUUUGUCUCUCUCAUGAGUGGACCAAAAUGGGAGCAGUAGAGGAAGAUAUUAUAGCUCAGGGGCCAUAAGGCUGCAGGAUUUACAGCCAAACUGCCUGGAUUUAAAAGUGGGUUCUAGUACUCACUAGCUUUGCAACCUUGGGUAACUCACUUAACUUCUCUAUGCCCCCGUUUCCUCAUCGGUAAAAUAUAUACACUAAUAAUCCCAAACUCAUAGCAUUAUUGUAUGGAUUAAAUGAGCUAAUCCACGAUAAUAACAUGUUUAAUAUGUGUUAGCUAUAAUCACAAAAUUGUGAUAGCAAUUCUCUAAUAGAAUAAAAUAUUGUUUGCCAAUGUCUCGGCCAUCUUUAUACUCAGUGUAAGCAGUCCCCACAAACAGAAAUGCUGUUGCAGGGUGAGUGUGCUAAAAAUACUCCUGGGAUUUUUCAAGUCCUUGGAGACAUCCAUCUUAAAAUAGUGCAAAAAGAACCGAAUAAAUACUCAUUUAUGUGCUAUUUUAAUGAGCAACUGUAGGCAAUAUGCCUAAUAUGGCAGAGAGGUCUUCGGUGUCCUUUCUCCUUCAUUCUUGAUUAGCGUCUGAGCUCAGAUGGCAUGCAUCAUUAUGUUUGUGGCAUUACAAAAGGUUCUGGGAGUGAGGGAGAGUGCAAGGGUGGGGAAGCAUUACGUGCCUGUAAUCCCAGCUCUUGGGGAUGCUGAGGCAUGAGAAUUGCUUGAACUCGGGAGGCAGAGGUUGCAGCGAGCCGAGAUCGUGCCACUGCACCCCAGCCUGGGCCACAGAGCAAGACUCUGUCUCAAAAAAAAAAAAAAAAGUAAGCUUCUGUGCUUCUGCCCAGAACCACUGAAUCAGAUGCUGGGUGUCAGCUCUGGACCCUGUUUGGCCUUUUCUUUCCUAUGUCAACCCAGCAGAGCUGCAGGCCCUGUGUGGAGGUGGGUUACAAUGUGCUCUCCUUAUCCCCAGUAAAACCAGGACAUUUUAAGGUGGGGAGGGGGUGGGAGUGGAUCAAUUAACUUGGAGUCUAAGCUUGACCUUUACCCUGGAUUUAUGGGGCUUAGAAAUAAAGGGAAAGUUGCAUUCUUCUCUGAGGAACUGCUUAAUUCAUAUCCACUCUCCCAAAUAAAGCUGCUGGUUGAUUGCAGCUAUUUAAUUCAAUGCUAUUUGCUUUCAUUCUGUGCAGGGUGAGGAUAGCUUUUGUUGACCAGAGCUUGUGCUAGAUCUCCACCCGGGCCAGGAAGGCAUUUCCCUGCACUCACAAAGGCCUUCCACACAUAAGAUGCACCGAAGAAUUCCUGGCAGGGCCAAAUCUGAUGUCAGGUUCACUCUUGGCCUUCCAAGUUCUUGCUGCCUCUCCUUUGUGCCCACGAUAUCUGAUGGCAGCAGCAUGGGACUUGGUACAGUUGAAAUAGCCCAAGUUCAAAUCCUGAUUCAGACACUGAGCUCAGUAACUUUAUUUGAGGACGUGGAAGUGCUGAGAUGCAACAUAAGUUCCCCCAAAUUACUCAGCUACUUGAGGCACAGCUGACAUCCAGAAGCUUCUCCGGGAAGGCUUUUGGAGUUCCCCAAGGCAGAGUCAACAAGAACAUAAGUUCCUUGAGAAGAGGGAGUGUGUGCCUCACUCACUGUCAUCUCCCCACGACCUGCCGCAAAGUGGACAUUCUCUUAAUAGUUACCGAGUGAAUAGACGCAGGAAGUUCAGCCUUUUUUGAUCUAAUUUCUUGCUCAAAGCUCAUCACAGCAUUCAACAUGUGGCCUCCUCACUAACCUGUGCACCCCUCAAGUCCAGGACCAUGUCAGAUUGUCUUUGAAUCCCUCAGCCCCAGUCCCAGACCUGCACCAGAGCAGGUGUUCAGCAAAUGAAUAUCGAAUUGUGGAAACAGGGAUCUCUCCAUUCUGGAUUCAAGACAGCGCCCUCCCUGUGAAGCUUUUCUGAGCCCUUUCACACUGAAGUUCUUCAAACCUUCAUGUUGACACCUAUCUGCCUGCUGCCCUCAGUCCAGGAGCAACUUGGACAUCAGCCCUACCUGUCACACUGGGGUUGGUACACCUGGCCUGUUCCGGGACAGAUUGCAAGGCUGAGGAUUAAGUAACACCUGGAGUGGUUAGGAGGCUGGGCACCUCCUUCUUGUGAAUCUCCCGGGCUGCGUGGCGGGUGGCGGGUGGCUGGCAGGGGAGGACCCUUGGCACUGCUGUGGCUUUGCAUUUGCUGCCAGCGGGGCCUUUGAUGCCCCAGGGGCUGCUCGCCCAGCCAAAGGCAUUGUAGAACACAAAAGCUGCAGAAAGCAGCACAAAUAAAGUAAAAGCGACCCAGGAACUGCCAGGGAGCUUAUCAGCCUGUUUCCUGGUCACAGGUACGGAGUGUAGAGAGGCACAGGGAGCAUUUCUGGGCCUUGUGAUCGCCUGCACGUUGCCAGGGCCCCUGGUAUUGUGUACAAAGCAUUAACCUGGAAGCUAAGCAAGGCUCUUCACCUUGCGAAACUGACUGAAUGGGUCCAAACUCUUAGAGCUUUUGUGAGGGUUAGAUAGGUUGAUAAGUUAAAGUGCCUACUCUGUGUGUGUGCGUCUAAUAAUGAUAACAGCCACGGUAGUAAUAAUGAUAGCAGCUAAUACUUUCUGAGCAUUUCAUAUAUGCCAAACACUCUUUUAGCUGAUUUUUAUAUUAAUUCAUUUAAUCUUCAUAAUGACACUAAGAGGUAGGUAGUACUGUUGUCUUCAUUUUAUAGAUGAGAAGUUUCGCCAAAGCUCAGAGACGUUAAGUAAUUUCCUUAACAUGGCACAGCACAUGAAAAGACAAUCCUGCAUUUGAACCUGGCACUCUGGUUGUGAAACACUGGUCUACAGCCACCUUGCUACCCAUUUCUUCCCCCUAGCCUUUGGAAUAUUGUGUUCCCCUAAUUAUUAUGGUAGUGAGGACAACCAGGUGAUGAUGAUGAUGAUGAAGAUGAGGAUGACGACGAUGACAGUGAUGGCGGUGGUGAAGGAGGAAGACAUGCCCUCAUUUCGUAUAGCAAUCUGCUUCUUGCUGGGAUUUCAAAUCCAUUUUCAUUGUUGAUCCUGAGAGCAAGCCUUGGAGGGGGAGUCAUUUUGAAAUCCCAGGACACUGGGUCUUAAGAGGCGGCUGAAGACCCAUGCAGUCAUGCGGUGGAGUCUGCGAGGCCCAGAGCGGAAGAGGAGGACAUGGGUGCGGCAGCCCACACUGCUGUGCUACAGCUCUGGAUCCUGACUGUGUGAGUGGGCCCAAGGCUGCUGGAACCUCUGGGGCUAUAGCAAGAAGGGUGAGGAAGUUGCCCCACUCCUGCUGCCUUCGUGAACAUUGGUUGUUCCCUCAGGACAGGAAAUUGAGGCUGUUCCCUUGACCACUCCAGACAGCUUAGUGGUGACUUCAAGUCCUCUUAUGAGAUGGUGGAUCAUAGCUACUGUUGAUUGAGAAGGACAGAAUAAUGGGCUCCAGAUUCACAAGCCCCACCAAGAGGAUCACCCCAGGAACCCUUGGAGGCUGAGGAGUUCACUGAGGCUAGUGCAUCUUGAGACUCAGGAUGAAGACCCAACUUGGGGCUGUCAAAGGUGCAACCUACCAGCUGAGACCUCCAGGGGUCGAGCGCGGGCCCCUUUGCCUUGUUCAUGGCUUAGGCCAGUGCUUAGCAUAUAGUAAACAACUUGUAAAUGUUUAUGAGAGGAUGUAUGGGGGGUCAUCCCUUCGGAAUGGCACACUGUCCAUUAUCAUUGUCCUCAGAGGCUCCAGUCUCAGGUGCUUCUUAAACUGCGAUGGGAAUGAUAGCAGCAGGUGGGUCCAGGGCUCAGCAUGAGAGCUCGCAGCAGGCUGUGCUCCACCCCAUGCAGGCCCCCAGUCUUGCCAUGUUUCCUCUGCCUCACCAGGCUGGCCUAGAAACUGCUUCCAACUGAAGCCAGCCAACAUGCCUGCCCCUAACCUCUCCUGCAACUCUAGGGUCACCGUUAGUCUAGAUCAGGGGUCCUUAAACUAUAGCCUUUGCCAGGCACGGUGGCUCAUGCCUGUAAUCCCAGAACUUUGGGAGGCCGAGGCGGGUGGAUUACUUGAGGUAGAAAGUUCGAGACCAGCCUGGCCAACAUGGUGAAACCCCGUCUCUACUAAAAAUACAAAACUUAGCCAGACAUGGUAGCACACACCUGUAAUCCCACCUACUUGGAAGGCUGAGGCAAGAGAAUCGCUUGAACCUAGGAGGUGGAGGUUGCAGGGAGCUGAGAUCAUACCACUGAACUCCAGCCUGGGCGACAGAGGGAGAGACUCCCUCUCAAAACAAACAAACAAACAAACAAACACUACAGCCUUUGGGCUAAAUCUGGUCAGUGUUCUGUGCUUGUAAGAACUCUGAGUUAAGAACAAUUUUUAUGUCUCUAAAGGGUUGAAGAAUACAAAAAGAAUAUUCAAUAGAGACCAUCUGGCUAGCAAAGCCUAAAAGACUGACCCUCUGGUCCUUUACAGAAAGGGUGUGCCGGUCGCUGGAUUGGGCAGUGCCGACCGCACCCCGGACUCCCUGUGAAAAUUUCAACCACACAGACUCAUUUCCUUUCUCUUAUCAACACUGAGGCAGGUGAGAUUAUCAUUCCUUGUAAACAUGGAGAAACUAAGGCAUGGAGAGGUUUAACUCAUUUGCCUGAGAAUCUAUGAAGUAACAGAGCCAGGGUUCCAACCCAGGCAGUCCAGCUUCAGAGCCCAUACUUCCUAGCUGCACUCUGGGUCAUCAGCGUAGGGAUGAGCUUCAGACAAGAUCUCCCCUCUUAGUUUCUGCCCUCUCCUGCCCCACAGCCAGUGGACAGGCAUUUUGCGCCCCAGCCUGCCCCCAGCCAGCUCCUCCUCAGAGAUUUCCUGCAGGGACUUAGACGGGGCUCUGGGACCACCCUCCUUUUCUGCCCCACCCAGCACCUGGAACUCUGCUUGAUCCUGCUCCCUGUAAGGCUGGACACGUCUCCAUGAGCCAGGCCUGAAGUUGUUCCCCUCUCUGGACCUCAGGACCUCCCUUCCUAGGAGCAAUUCCUGUAUCUCCUCUCCUCUCUGCCUUCGCCCCUUCCCACCAUGUCCUUCCAAUAUGGGGCUGGAUUUGUAGUGUGCAGCCUUGGGAACAGGGCUGGGCUCAGGGAUUGGGAACAGAGGCCUAGGGCUCUGGCUGACCCUCUCUCAUCCCCAGGAGGAGAAGCUGCUGUAUUUAGAGUGUCACAAAGAACAGUGUUGGAGGCUUCAGAAACCACGGGAGAUUCUGAACUUCUCGGCUGAGCAGAUGGGAUGGUGCCUCUGUGAUCAACGGGCCUGGCAGAGGGAUGCAGGAGGGGGUGAGAUGGAAAGACAGCUGCCAAGGGGAACAGAGAGCUUUUCAAGUCACCCUUGUCCCCUCCCCACCUCACCAUCAGGUUACAGCCCCUCAGCCCUGGGGCUGGAGAUGAGUGUGCGGAGAAUGAAGCUACAGAGGCCGUGUUCUGGCUGUGUGACCUUGCACAGGUUACAUAACACUCUGUGCCUCACUUUACUCAUUUUUAAAAUGAUGAAGAUGAUAACUACCUGGCAGGGUCUUAUAUUAGAGAUAAUACGGUUCCCGGCGCUCUGUAAGCACCCAGUGUUAAAUUGUCUUCUGCUGCUCCCCUUCAUCAGUCCACCCCUCCUCUGCAGAGCUUUCCUCCAUGCUGAGCAAGCUGGCAGUAACUAAGGCCCUGCUGGGCGCAUCCCUAGUGCCUUCUGCCCAGACCUCGGGACCCCCAGGGAUCCUGGCCCCUGUGGACGGGGACUUUUGUGCUCUCCUUCACUGUUACCAGCGAGAGUGAGUCGUGCACUGAAUUUCCAUGGGAUCAUUGUUUGCUAACAUUUGUGCGUGAGUUACUGUCUAGAAAGCAGCUUUUCUGGCCUUUUCCCAUUAAUUUCAUGAAAGUUAUCUUCCUUUGCCCUUACUACAGUCCUGUGAGAGGUUCAUUACCCCAUUUUACAAACAACUAAUGCUCCGAGAUGAAGUGACUCCCCCGGGGUCGCCUAGCUAAGCAGUGGAGAGUGGGUCUCCCACCCGGCCCUCUCACUCUGACUCCUGUUCUCCGCGUCAUUGCAUAUGGCGACAUGUGGGUCACGUUUUCACACGUCCCUAGUUGAUACGGAAUGGUGAGCUUCUCCUGGGUCUUCCGAGGAAGGAUGUUUGCGGGGGUGUUUUGGAAUAAAGGCAGUGGAGGCCAAGAGACCUCUAGGUCAAAGCCAGGCAGGAGGGUCUUCUCAGGGACCCAGCUAACAAGUUGCAUUUCUCCCUCAGAGGCUUGAAGAGGCAGAACACCCGAGAGGAGUCUGGGGCCACCACCCAGCGUCACUGUGGGAAAACGGCAGCAGGAAAUGUCCUCUCACCCGUGUGCUUCACCUCUGUCCACACCUUCCCUCCUUCUGGAAGCCUUGCCUGACCACUGGCCUGCCCCUUCUAUGGGAAUUGCUGCUGACCUUGCAGCUCACUGUAGACUUAUAUGUAUGCAGAAAUAUAAUUUUAAUUACUUUUGUAUUGCUCCAAGAGUGAUACCGAAUCACAACAGAAAAUUUAAAUAAACAAAAUAGCCAAAUUAUUACAAGUAAUCACCCCAGUCAAAUAUACCCAGCUCACAUUUUGAUGUAAAAUCUUCCAGUACGUUUCCUAUGUACAUAUAUUUUUAGGAAGGAGAUUAUAUUUUACAUGCUGUUUUCUAAAACGUUCUUUUAAAACUGUGUCAUAAACAUCUUUCCUUAU